CGAAAACUUAUUGCAGUUGAGAUUGUGGGCAAGAGUCUCUUAAUAGUUCCAGUCCCAGCAGCGGGCAGCUCAUUCAAGCCAUAUUGCAGCCUGGGCUGGCGGGAAACGCCGUUUCUUCUGUCUCUCCGGUUUAAUUUUUUAACAGCCCCCGCCUCCACCGACUCGGCGUGACUGAAAGACCCGCGGGCUUCCCUUCUUCUUUUCAGUGUCUCUUGUCUUUAACGAGCCUCGCUGAUCCCACCGAGCGCCCCUCCCCCCAAGACUGGCUCUACUCUGCUAAACAGAAGACCGUCUCCCGCCCACCCAGCCCUGCUGCUCUCUCCUCGCAUUUCCAGAGCCCCCUUUCCUAUUAUCUCCCCCCACCUCGCCAGUUGCUCCAUCUUCCAUCCUGGUGCUAAAUUGUAAAAAGAGGAGCUCCCCCCUCCUCUAGGCCACCAACACCAACCACCACUUCCCUCGCCACUACCACCGCCGCGGCCGCCGCCUCCUCUUUUUCUCUUCCCCUGGUAGCACUAGGACGUCCGGUGUAGUGGUGCUGGUGGUGGUGCUGCUUUCGCAGGCUGGGGGCAGCGAGGAAACGAGGUCGCCUUUUCAAACAUCUCCCCGCCGCCUCCGUUUCUUCCAAGGUGCCUUGCCGAGGGGAGAGCGCCAGAGCGACCGUGGAAAGGCUCCAGUCCCAGCGAGCGGUCACGAUGAGCGCACGAGGUGAAGGAGCCGGCCAGUCUUCGACUUCUUCCACGGCUGCCCAGGAGCAACCUGCAACCCCACCGAAGAGGGGGCGAGGGAGACCUAGGAAGCAGCCACAAGAACCUGCUGGAGAACCGUCUCCUAAAAGACCAAGGGGAAGACCCAAAGGGAGCAAAAACAAGAGUCCUUCAAAAGCAGCUCAAAAGAAAGCAGGAGCCACUGGGGAAAAACGACCAAGAGGCCGACCUAGGAAAUGGCUUUCUCUACCAUUGGCAGUGGCUGCCCAAGCUCCAGUCCUGGCUGCCAUACGAACAUGCACAACUCAAUAAGGAAACAUGGCAGCCAGGAAGCAGACACCAGCAGCCUCUUCGUAAAUGCAGAGAACAGCAAAUGGUCCCUGAGGUGACAGCCACAACAGGUAGUCCAGAAGAAACCAGCUCAGGAACAGGCUGAAGAAACAUCUUCACAAGAAUCUGCAGAAGACGACUAGGAGACCACACCUCACAAUUUCUACCUCAUCAGCAGUUGCGUCUUUUGAAGGGAGAAGACACUGCCUUGACCACUUGCUUUGUAUUGCCACAAUCUUUCCAUUUUGGCCUGGGUGGGGGAAGGAAAUCACUUAACCUUAAAAAGGACUUAAUAAUUAUCCUUGUUGUAAUCCCUUCACUGUCCCAGGUUUAGUGAAAAACUGCUGUAAUACAGGGGGACACAGAUUAAUGAUGCAACAUAUAAUUACUGAUUUUCUGUUUAUUUUUCCUUAACCUACUAAUAGUUUGUUUGAGCUGCUAAGUAAGGGUGAAUGGGUCAGUAAAUCUUUGAACCAGGUUUUAAGUCAUUCACUGCACUGCAUAUAAAUAAGAUUUUUUUUGUAACAUAUUAAUUAUAAUGGGCAUUCAAAUAGGAAGGCUUUGGUGUUUAACACCAGGCUUCAUCACACUUCUGUCAACCCACUCCCUAGCUUAGUAAACUUCCUGUUUAGAACACCAAAGAUAAGGAUUAGACUCUUUUUAUAGCCUUGUUCUAGAUUUGUGCUUGAUUUUUUUAAAAAAUAUUACUGUUAUUUCAGAUAAGUUGAAGGCUGAUUUUUUUUCAUUUAAUUCAGCUGAUGUUCAGGAGAAAAGCCAGAAAAAAGGUACUUUUACUUUGCAAAAGGGAAAACAUGACAAAGAUACAUUGUAUAUUUCCUAAUACACAUAUAUCUGCAAAAAUAAUACAAAAUAGAACUCAACAGCACACCUCACCUUUUUGGAAAGGCCUCAUGUUGUUCAGAAAUUACUAACGUCAGACCUCUUCUCAACUGAGAUUUAGAAGCUAAAAUCUGGGGGGUUUAUUACUUUAAACCAAUGGUGGGAUUCAAAUAAUUUAACAACCGGUUCCAGUGGUGGGAUUCAAAUAAUUUAACAACUGUUUGUUUACAAGCACCAUUUUAACACCCGGUUCUGCUGAAGUGGUGCGAACCUGCUGAAUCCCACCACUGCUUUAAACCAAUAUCUCAGUUUAAUUCUAAGUCAUGGUCAUACUGGAAUGGAGGACAAAAUUCAGAUAUGUUGAAUUAACCCACCACUGCCAGACCUACUCCUUAGUUACAAAGGGAAUGGAUCCCUUUUUUUACUCACACAUCUCAGCACAAGAGCCAAUACCAUGUACCUCAAGUAAGCUUGUGUAUGAUUUUUAAGCAAUAACUGCUGGCAUAAUAUCAUUUGCUGGGCAGUCCCAUGCCCAAAUCUUUUUCACGGAGAUCAGCACUUUUAGCAAAAAAAUGCAAUAUUACCCUACUAUUCAAUACUACCUCUGAUAAUUACAGUUAACUCAACAGUGAUAAACAUUUGCUGCUAUAAUCAUAGAAUGCAGUGAAUAAUUAAUGGAUAGGUAAUUAUGAAUUUCUACACCCUCAACCCCCAUUUCUACUCUAGACACUUAAUUACAGUUAAGGAGUCAAGAACUUUAGAGUUUUCCAGUAUAACUAUGACUGGGAUCCAAAGGGCUUCUUGUGCAAAUGGAAGGUAAUUCCACAUGCAGUUCCACCAGUUUCUGAGAAUUCCCUCUGUCCACCCAAUGCCAUGACCCACAUCACAGUUGAAGGUCGUUGACCUCAGGAGUGGCUGAUAGGGUGCCAGAGAACUCUGGGAGAAGGCAGGAGAGCCUUGUUGCAUGAGUGGGACUCCACUUGCAUUGCUCUGGAUCUAGCCCAAUGUAUUUUUUCUUUUUUACGUACUAUGCCUUUUUCUGCUAAAUUUCUAUGUAAUGUUCCAUUAACUUGAAUAUAUUUUUGUACCGAAUUUCUCACAAGGUUGGUAAAAAUGAUUCUCUUUGAUGAAUGACACUACAUGACAAACAAUUAACUGCAAUGUUUAAACAUUACUAUCAAGUUUGUACCUCACAUGAAUUUUUUUAAAGAAAUGGACUAGUUGAUUGACAAAAACCUACCUCCAGAUUAUAAAUGGAAUGAACUUGUUGUUUCUUUCAUCAUUAGUUUUUGAGAAGAUUUGAAAUGUUUAGGACUGCAGUAAAUCCCUAAUCAAACCUAGUUUUGUAAAAGAAUUUGUGGGAAAUGAAAAUGUUGUAAUUUACUUUAAUUCUUUAACAAAAAAACUUCAAAGAAACUUGAACCUUUUGUAGGUGGGAGGCAACAAGCUUAGCUUUUUGCAUAAUGCAAUCACAAAUGUGUGUUUUUUUAAAAAAAACUAGUAGAUUGUACGAGAAUACUUAUCAAGUAUUUUCACAUAUUUUUUCACAAAUGUGAUUUUUUAUAAUAUGUAUCAACCAGAUUUAUUUUAAAUGCUUCUUAUAUAGAGUUUGUUCAAUACUUCUGUCUCUUUUCUUUUUCCCAUCUGCAAGUCAAAUUUCAUGUCAGUUGCAUAAAUGCCUUUUCACAUUUCUGUUUCCAGAACAACUUUGUGAGGUUGCACUCUGGCUCGGGGUGGGGGGGUGAGCUUCUCAUUUCCAACAGAUUGCUUUUCUGAUCAAAAUCACCUUCUCUGAAGUGCUUUGUGCCCUGGAGGGAAAAAGUACAGGUAUUCCUGUCUUUUCUCCAUGCUUGGUAAAAAGCAACUUGAACAACAAUAUUUUGGUAAGAAAAAAGGAUCUUCUGUACUAAAGAUAAGUACCCCCCCCCCCCCAAUGCAAAAUUACAGUCCAAAUUUCAACUUUCUAUACCUGCUUUGGGUAGGAAAAAAAAUUGAGGAAAAAUAUUCACAUGACCAAGCAUUGCACACACGUUUUUAUAAUUUUGGCCAGGGGUAGUUUCUCAGGAAGGCUUGUGCCAUUAUGACUUUCAUACUUAGCCAAAUGUAAUUAAGAAAUACUACUUACUCAUCAGUGAAAACACACGUAAUCUCCUCAAGUAAAAGAGUACAUUUUGUUGGGGAUCACUAAGAAAGAGCUUAUAGGAGAAACAGAGAACAUUGGGGUGCUUAAGAAGGUUUUACUUUUAGUUAACCUCACAAAAGGUCUUCAGGGGCUCUACUCCAACAUGUCUGCUCAAGUGAUUGGCAGGGAUCCAAAGGGCUGCAGGUCAGUUCCACUUGUGCACUAGAGUUUUUCAGCUCCCUAUGCAGUGAUAGCCUCCUCCCUCCAACUCAUGGGACCUUUCAGUGAGGUGCCAGAGGCUGCCACUGGAAGGAAAUAUCAAGUGGACUAACCAGGGAUACUGGGUCAAGUCUUUAAAACCUCAUACUUUUUUAGAUUUAAAAUAACUAGGCCAUAAUAAUUUUUUAAAAAAAUUCUGUGGAAGUUCUAGCAUGUCCACAGGCUCCAUGGUUGAAGGGGCUAUGCAUUCUCUUCUAUUUCAGAGAGUAUUCUGAACACACAAUGGGAAAUCUGCACUGUGUACAUAGCCUAUUGUCUAACUAUUUGGAGCAAAUGAGAGUUCUUUAUAGAGCAUCAAUUUCCCUUUGUGUAGAAUUCCAUGUGUGCAUCAGUUUCCUCUGUACUGAAGCUGCUGGAAUGCACUGCAGCAUCCGUGUGAUAAAACAGAAGUUAUCAACGCAAGUGGGUCAGAUAUCAAAUUCCAAAAAACGUCUGGCUGUGAUCAAAUUAUACUUUCUAUAUAUUGUAGAACAAUCAAAACACAUUACUACCUCUCAGGGUCUUCUAUACCUCAUUUUUCAGACUGAGAAGAACUGCUUGAGGCCACUGAAACAGAAAGAGCAUCAUAAAAUUUUUUUAUAUAUAUAGUUUAUUUUUGUGGGAGAUAAAUUUUAUAGGACUGUUCUUUGCUGUCAUUGGCCACUGCUAAAUAAGACUGGACAUUCACUUUUCUGUCAUUUCUGUAAGAUGGAGAUACUUGUAGAAGAAAAGUAUCAGGAUGUAUAAUUACAGUUUACCUUUUUUCCUGUUCCUUGCCUGUCUCCUAAUCCUUUGCUAUAUUAUCCAUAUAGAAUUGCUGUCUAUGAUUGUACUUUGAAUUGCUUGCUUGUUGAACAUGUUCCUGUAAUGGAUUAUCACCAUCUGUUCAGCACAAUAAACAUAAUAGCCUCUGUGA